UGAUGAAAUUGCCGGUGAUGAUAGUGCUGGUGAUGAAAGUGCAGAUGAUGUAAAUGAAGGCGAUCAUCAUCAGCACUAUAAUCACCAGCAUCAUCAUCAUCAUCAAUU
rnacentral:pre_miRNA from 1 species